UUACGACCAUAUCACGUUGACAGACCGGUCCUCGUACGAUCACCGAAGUUAAGCAACAUUGACCCUGACCAGUACCUAGAUGGGUAACCGCUUCAGAAUACAAGGUACUGUG